rnacentral:tRNA from 1 species
GCCGGAAUAGCUCAGCCAGGUAGAGCAACUGAUUCGUAAUCAGUAGGUCCGCGGUUCGACUCCGCGUUCCGGCACCA